UACGUAGGGUCCGAGCGUUGUCCGGAAUUAUUGGGCGUAAAGGGCUCGUAGGCGGUUUGUCGCGUCGGGAGUGAAAGCCCGGGGCUUAACCCCGGGUCUGCAUUCGAUACGGGCAGGCUAGAGUGUGGUAGGGGAGAUCGGAAUUCCUGGUGUAGCGGUGAAAUGCGCAGAUAUCAGGAGGAACACCGGUGGCGAAGGCGGAUCUCUGGGCCAUUACUGACGCUGAGGAGCGAAAGCGUGGGGAGCGAACAGG
rnacentral:rRNA from 1 species